AGCUGGCCACACCCUGAAAGGCUGCCCGAAUCUAUUCAGUGAAUUGAAGGAAGAUGGAAAGCCGCAUGAGCAAUACAUUUCGGAAGCUGUGACAUAUGAUGAAAAGGAACUGUUUAAGGGCAUCGUCUGUGGUGAACGCUUUAACAGUUUUGAUAAAUUCGUCCUUCAGGUUACAGGAAAAGAAGUACAUCAAUACAUAACACCAUUCGAAGAAGCCUGCCUGCACCAUCUACUACUUCAAAACAUUAAAAAUUCUGGCUACAUAAAACCAACACCUGUUCAGAAAGCUUCAGUUGCAGUAAUUUUGAAACCUGGAUGUCCUCGUACUGACGCGAUUCAAAGGGGUCGGUGUGAACUGGGUAAGUUGAAGUAAAAGUAAUUUUGAGUGGGCAUGCCAGUAAUUAGGACUACUAAAAGGUCCAAUUGCAUCUAAGGCGGCGUACUUGGUACGGGUUUUGAACAUUGUUAGAACAAGGUGUUGCUGCUGCGUCUCAUGCCAUGCAGCAAAAGCCAGAAGUUGUAAUUGUCGCACCCACUCGUGAAUUGGCCAUUCAAAUUCACCGCGAGGCAUGUAAAUUCUCCUACAGUUCGGUUUUAAAGUCUGUGAUUAUAUGUGGAGAAAUUGUCACGAGCCAUCAUCGGUCAAAUCUUCAAGCUGGGUGUAAUAUUGUUGUCGCGACCGCGGUGCGAUUCAAGGAUUUUCUCGA